UUACGCCUUCCAUGAAGCCGGAAUUGCUAGUAAUGGCAGGUCAGCAUACUGCCGUGAAUACGUUCCCGGGCCUUGUACACACCGCCCGUCAAACCAUGAGAGUUGGCAACACCCGAAGUCGGUAGUCUAACCGCAAGGAGGACGCCGCCGAAGGUGGGGGUUGAUGAUUAGGGGUUAAGUCGUAACAAGGUAAC
rnacentral:rRNA from 1 species